AAAUAACAAUACGGGGCUUAAUGUCUUGUAAUUGGAAUGAUGGGAAUUUAAACCUCUUCCAGAGUAUCAAUUGGAGGGCAAGUCUGGUGCCAGCAGCCGCGGUAAUUCCAGCUCCAAUAGCGUAUAUUAAAAUUGUUGCAGUUAAAAAGCUCGUAGUUGAAUUUCUGCUACAUUGCCUAUUCUCCUUUACGAGUUUGGGUCUUUUGUGGCUUAUCUGGGUUCGCUUGCGUUCCCGGUGUUUUACUUUGAGAAAAUUAGAGUGCUCAAAGCAGGCUUUUGCCUUGAAUAGUUUAGCAUGGAAUAAUAAAGUAGGACUUUGGUUCUAUUUUGUUGGUUUUAGGUACCAAAGUAAUGGUUAAUAAGAACAGUUGGCGGGCAUCUCGUAUUUCACUGUCAGACGUGAACUUC
rnacentral:rRNA from 1 species